GCCAGUGAUGCGAACCAACUCAGACGACAAAAUUGCCGUCGCCUCUUCGGUCCGUGCCAUCGUGCCCUUGGGAAUCUAUCUCUCUGGUUUUGGUUUCUCUUGGUCCAAAGACACAGAUCCCCUUGCAAUCUCGUAUACCCUUUUUAGAUUCAGAUCGCAGAGUUGUGGAACCCUAGCUCCUCUUUUAUGCUCGGCUAGUUUUUUUUGUCUCUCUCCUCAACGUUCGUCAUGGAGCGGAUUGUAGGCUGCAAGUAUAAGCUUGGCCGCAAGAUCGGAAGCGGAUCCUUCGGUGAAAUUUAUCUGGCUACGCAUAUUGACACUUUCGAGAUCGUCGCUGUCAAGAUCGAGAACAGUAAAACAAAGCAUCCGCAGUUGCUUUACGAGGCAAAACUGUACAAUAUUCUUCAAGGAGGAAGUGGCAUUCCUAGCAUAAAAUGGUCUGGCCUGGAUGGGGAGGAGAAUGUGCUUGUUCUUGAUUUACUGGGACCGAGUCUUGAGGAUUUGUUUGUGUAUUGUGGAAGGAAGUUUUCAUUGAAGACAGUCUUAAUGCUGGCUGAUCAAAUGAUAACUAGAAUAGAAUAUGUGCAUUCCAAGGGAUUUUUACAUCGGGAUAUAAAACCCGAUAACUUUCUUAUGGGACUUGGUCGGAAGGCUAACCAGGUUUACAUAAUUGAUUUUGGUCUUGCAAAGAGGUAUCGGGACUCCACAACCAAUCGCCACAUCCCUUAUAGGGAGAACAAAAAUUUAACGGGGACUGCACGUUAUGCAAGUUGCAAUACUCAUCUAGGGAUUGAACAAAGCCGACGGGAUGAUUUGGAGUCACUGGGUUAUGUUCUUCUGUACUUCCUGAGAGGAAGUCUUCCUUGGCAAGGUCUGAAGGCUGCAACAAAGAAGCAGAAGUAUGAUAAAAUAUGUGAAAAGAAAUUGUCAACUCCAAUUGAGGUCCUCUGCAAGUCUCAUCCUGUAGAGUUUGCUUCAUACUUUCACUACUGCCACUCUCUGACUUUUGACCAGCGGCCUGAUUAUGGGUUCUUGAAGCGUGUAUUUCGGGAACUAUUCACUCGAGAAGGAUAUGAAUUUGACUAUGUAUUUGAUUGGACCAUCUUGAAGUAUCAGCAGGCACAAAAGAACAAAUCUCAGCCACGCAUACCCCCUGUUACUGGAGCAAGCAACAGUCGUGUGACGCCAAUGGAUGUUGACAACCAUCAUGUUGAUGUAUCAGAUCGCAUUAGAUCAGGCAAUGCUACCAGUUCCGGUGUUAAAUUGCAGUUUAAAUCACCAAUUGGCAAAAAUUUAAGUUCUGAACAUCCUUUUAAGAAGAAUAUUUUUGGAGAGGAGAACAUGCCCUCUACUUCAUAUUCACUUUCUGGUACCUCCAAGAGGGACUUCUUGAAGCCCAUCAUGCCUUCUGAAGCUGCUAAUUCUGGACAGGAACAUGUUAGUAAAAUUGGCCCUUCUAGCAGCUGGAUUUCAUCUCUGCAUCGCACCAAAUGAAAUACCAAUAUGCUGUGAAUCUGUUCAAGAAAAUUCUCUGCAUAUGUGGUGGUUCACUUGCAUCUUUCCUGUGUAUUCAAUAGAGAAUAUCCCAGUAAGUUAUUGAUGGAGACUCUCAAAUUUGCUGCCAUCUUGUGCUACUUCUUUUCCAAGGAUGCUCAAGCAGCACUUCUCUACUUGUAGGUAGCGCAAAUAUUGGCACUCAGCCAGGUUAACUUGUACUGACAUUUGGGGGAUUAACGAGUGCAAACUGGUUUUGUCAGUCUAGUUCAAGGUUUGAAUAUGGUGCUGCACAUUUCAUGUUUCAUUGAUUAAAUUGAUUGGAAAUGGGCUGCUCAAUUAUCAGUUCAUACUUUUUACUUUUGAAGGAAUUUCUAUUCAAACCAAUAUUUAUCUGAGGGAUGAAUUAUGACUGAAUAGGUUCCCCUAUCAACAGGUGCUUGCCUCUCUAUAUUCUCACUUCUGAUGAAUAGAUUUGUUUAAACGGCAAUUGGGUGAGAAUGAAUUAAAGAUAUAACGAUCCUAGCAUUUCUAUCAGUUAGCAUCUAUCCAUGAUCUGACUUUUUGAAUAGACUAACAUGAAUUCUAUAGUUAUUAGUGGUCAUAUACUUAUGAAAUGGCUACUUGAUGAUAGCACCUUAUUUGUAUAGACCCAAGUUUACCUGCCACUUGCUAGCUCAAUCUGUAGUCAUGUGGAUUGGGUUGCAGCAGCUUGAAGUUUUAAAAUAUUUUAACUGGAGGGAUGAGUUAAUCUAUUCAUCUGUUCUCAUAAUUUGGCAUUCAGAUUUUCAAAGAGUUUGGUGCCUGGGAGCUCCGCAAAGUUCUUUUUCCUGAUAUUGGAUUAUUCUGAAACCUUUAAUUAGGGAUUAUGAAAGCAGAUAUUUUUGAUGAAUUUAAUCAUCUGUGAAACCAGUGAUUUCAUAGCUCUUAAUAAUCUUUUGAAUGUUGUAAGAAAUGUUGAUGUUUUGGACCUUAAAAGUACGAACUAUUGGGUUUUCUUUUGUGACAAAUUGUGCAAGAGAAUAACAGAUUGGCUCCAUGCUGUCAUUUGGCCGUGGAUCUAGAUAGGCUUUGUAAUAAAUUUUAAAAGAGAUGCUUUCAAUGUGUGUUUGUCGCUAUAUGCAAUAGGCCUUUUGAUGAAUGGAUCUUUUGAUUGUUAUUCAACAUUUCUGUUAGGAGGCUGCCCCUUCAUGGACAGGAUCUUGGCUCAUUUUUGGUUCACGGUGCUGGUUCUAAUGAGAAUACAUUUGAAGGCCGGUAACUUGGGUAUCCUGAUCCACCAUUCUAUCGACGCUCCUGUUGGAUGGAUGACGACUGCAGCUCAUAGCGGACUGAUCAAAUGAGAUGGAGUGGAGAGGAUUGAUUUUGUGAUGAAGAUAGAAACACGUAGACUCUUGGGAGUUGUUUGGUCCAUGGCAUUUUCUUCCUCAAUUUCAAUACUGUGGCGUCAUAGGCCAAUUCUUUUCCUUUUUAGUCAUUCUGUAGAAUAUACUCGAGAUAAAAGCCUAGAGAUGUCUGAGACUCUGAAUAUCUUGCAGUCCAAUCUAUCUCACAUUUCCAAGAUUCUGGUGGAAAAAUAUGCUUGAGUCAGAUGGUCCAUGUAGCUGAUAGUUGUAUUAGUGUUGUGAUUACAAUUUUGACAUGCAUAAAGUUCAGAGUUAAAUAUUUGCUAAUACUA